CAGAAGCCUUAAUUAACACUUACUGCACAAGAUCUGCCAACCUGCUGUGCAUAGGCAGUAAAUAAAAAAAGGAACUAAAGGAAUAGUCCUGUUCAUUUAUCUGUCUAAGCUGAGCCAAGCAAAGAGUAGCCGGUGCAGGGAUUUAACAGAAUAGCAUCUUAAUUGCUUAUCAGGAUGAGAGAGUCUACUCUUUUUCUGUAGUAAAUCUUCAGGCCGGACCAUGUGGCAAACAGCAUGAAAGCCUUGGUGCCACCAACUGGAGGAGAGGCUGUGGACCAGAGGGGUCUGUAAGCUGAGGACAAGCAAGUGCGUGAAGUCCAGCCUUGCAUAAACCAACUGACCAGAACCAGCUGUCAGCAAAUCUCUGUGUGAUGUUAGCAAAUCUUCAUCCUGAUCAUCAGGCAUGUUCUAUAUGGAUAAUAUGACACUAGCAAAAUUCCACUGCCACUUCCACAAUUCUGGUGACUUUCAGCAGAAAACAACUAACUUCAGUCUAUAGCAAUAUUUAUGAACUAACAUGUGGGAACUAAGAAGAAAUUUUUGAAUAAUUAUUACUUUCCUGUGGUCAGUUAUGUAAGUAUUGAAUAUCUUAAUUCUUAAAGACAAUUUCCUAAUUCUUAAAGACAUUUUCCUAAUUCUUAAAGACAUUUUCACACACGCUUCCAUGUUUUUUGGAUGUUUCUUGCUGGCUAUGUAUAAGCUUAGCAGGUAUGACCGCGGCACGUAUGAUACUUCUCAUCAGCAGCUGUUUCUGAAUUUCACACCCAGAAUGGAAUGUGUAUCCAUGAACAUAGACUUAAAUCUUUGAGAAAUGGCUUACUUUCAUGAAGAUGACACAAAUUUGUUAACAUUGUGAAAUUUUCUCCUGGAUGUCAGCGUAAAUUACAAUGUCUUCAAGUUAACUAUUAAUUAUUGAUGAGAUUUUAAAAUUAAUUUAUUGAGGAAAUUUCCUAAAAUUAAAAUAUGCUUAACCUUCCCUAAUUGUCAGGAAAAAAGCAACAGCAUAAGAAUACUCAGCUUCACUCUCAUAUUUGAAUGAAUGUUCCAUUUAAUAUUUAAGAUGUUCUAAUGAUUACUGUGUUUGUUGUAAAAUUACACAAAGCUCCAAACAGGCCUAAUUUAAAGCCUACUAAAACCUUUGAAUAAAUUUCAUUGUCUUCAUUGGUAAUUGGAUCAGACUUCUGGACAAAAGGAAUAAUGACAAAUAAUGAGUAAGAGAACAAAAAUAAACCUGGUUCUCUCAUGAACACAAGGUAAAAGCUACCAUGUAUAAUGUAAAAAUGCAAGUGGGGAAAGUAACAAAAAGACAAACAAAAAACACAAAUGGGAUAUCCUGAACAACAUGCUCAAUCAGAUCAUUUCAACGAUAUGCUUGCUGGUGACCUUCCACUAGGCGAUAAGCAUAACUGGAAAUUGUAAUGUAUUACGAAUUCCAAUGAACAGUUCAAAAGCUCAAACUCUCUUUUGUCUGCCAGUCAUUAAUUCAUACAGGGAGGGAAUGUUUCACAGUUAGUGUGAGUGUGCUAGCAUGUAAUUCAACAUGUGCUAAACAUCAAUGAAUCCUAUCUUAAAAUACAUACAUAUGCUCCAGAUAAUGACUUCUAGAAUUUGCAAAACUAUUAUUUCUCAUUUUCACUUUGAAUGUGUACAAUACUCAGUGGAAAUUUCAGUUGUGCUUGUGUCCUGAUAAAGGCAAAACUAUUUCUAUAACCUAAAACUCUUUCCUGAAGACUCAGAAGUUGUCAGAUUCUUUUUUUGUGUUUUUUUGUUUGUUUGUUUGUUUGUUGCUUUUGUUUUUGUUUUUGUUUUUGUUUUUUUUGUCUAGACUUCAUAUUGUCAUCUAGAGAUAACUUUAUCCCUGCAAGUAUGACAAUUUUUCCCAUCACCAGUGUUAUAUUUACUGCUACAUUUUUAUGUAAGGUACAAUAAUAUCACAUUAUACAUUUCUCAUUUGUUCAUUACUUCUUUUUUCCCUUAGAUUUCUAAACCUUUCAUUGAGUAGAGAUUUAUUGGUGCUUGUUUGCCCGACUUAGUUAGUUAUCUAGCUACUCAUAUAAUUUUAAGACAAGUUGAUAUUUAUCUGGUAGAGAAUUAUACCUUUCAUGAAAAUAUAGUAAACAUAAUUUUGGCCAUUCUGUACCACUCUUUAAAUAGAUAUUUCCAUUUAGAUAACCUGCAUAAAAAGAAAUGAAAAGUCAGUCUAAAAGCGAAGACUGGAAAAUAGAGGUGAAUCACAAAAGGCAAAUUCUGUCAUGUUUGUAUUACCUUUGUUGAAUUAAGUACUUGGUCAUAAAAGCCUCACUGUUUGCUAAUUUGUAGCUGAACGGAGAUGCUAGUAUACAUGAAGCCCUAUUAAAACCCAGAAGGAGCUAUUCAUGCCUUAGAGGCUGCCUGUUUAUAGUUUCAGAGGAUUCUAGGCCUAUGUACCAAAAAUCCUGGCAGAGAACUCAGUAUACUGCUAUUCCAGUAUAUUUUUACUAACCUAAAUGACGUCAGUUUCCAAAAUUGUUCAGUGAAGUUGAUGAUUAAAUUAUAAACUUUAAAUAUUGCAAAAUAUGAGUUAUGUUUUCACAAGGAGAAGGAUAUAUAUCACGCUGGAGGUUUUUAAUAGAACAUAUUCAGAGAGUUUCAAAAAUAUGUUUCCCUUGUUGUUUUGUAAGAUGACAAUUAUUGACCUUGUAUGCAGAUAUAUAUAAAAA